rnacentral:rRNA from 1 species
AACUUCUUUUGACGCAGAGCAAUAAGGGACACGCGUGUUCCGAUGAGAGUAUGCGUCGAAUAAGCAUCGGCUAACUCCGUGCCAGCAGCCGCGGUAAUACGGAGGAUGCGAGCGUUAUCCGGAUUUAUUGGGUUUAAAGGGUGCGUAGGCUGUUGGAUAAGUCAGCGGUGAAAUCACCACGCUUAACGUGUUGUGUGCCGUUGAAACUGUCUGGCUUGAAUGCGCUCGUCGUGAGAGGAAUGUGUGGUGUAGCGGUGAAAUGCAUAGAUAUCACACAGAACACCGAUUGCGAAGGCAUCUCACGAGGGCGCUAUUGACGCUGAUGCACGAAAGCGCGGGUAUCGAACAGGAUUAGAUACCCUGGUAGUCCGCGCUGUAAACGAUGAUGACUAACCGUUGGUCUGGUAUGGAUCAGUGGUCAAGCGAAAGCGUUAAGUCAUCCACCUGGGGAGUACGGCCGCAAGGCUGAAACUCAAAGGAAUUGACGGGGCCCGCACAGCGAGACAUGUGUUAUCGAUAU